rnacentral:tRNA from 1 species
GUUGCCGUGACCGAGUGGUUAAGGCGAUAGACUUGAAAUCUUUUGGGAUUUUCCGGCACAGGUUUGUAUCCUGCUGACAACG